ncrna:Polynucleobacter wuianus strain QLW-P1FAT50C-4 chromosome
CCAAUGAUUUAAAAUUGAAGACUCGCCUCAUUGGCAAAAGCCAGCUAAAAGCGGCUUCCAAAAUGCGGAAUAUGAGAGUGGCAGGGUAAAAACCUGACUCUGUAAAUUUAUCAAUAUCGAGG